GUGCCAGCAGCCGCGGUAGUACCAGCACCCCGAGUGGUCGGGACGAUUAUUGGGCCUAAAGCAUCCGUAGCCGGUCAUGCAAGUCUUCCGUUAAAUCCAGCCGCUCAACGGUUGGGCUGCGGAGGAUACUACGUGGCUAGGAGGCGGGAGAGGCAAGCGGUACUCAGUGGGUAGGGGUAAAAUCCUUUGAUCCAUUGAAGACCACCAGUGGCGAAGGCGGCUUGCCAGAAUGCGCUCGACGGUGAGGGAUGAAAGCUGGGGGAGCAAACCGGAUUAGAUACCCGGGUAGUCCCAGCUGUAAACGAUGCAGACUCGGUGAUGGACUAGCUUUAUGCUGGUCCAGUGCCGCAGGGAAGCCGUUAAGUCUGCCGCCUGGGUAGUACGGUCGCAAGACUGAA
rnacentral:rRNA from 1 species